GUGACCCCAGGUCAGGCGGGGACACCCGCU
rnacentral:rRNA from 9 species